rnacentral:rRNA from 1 species
UACGUAGGGGGCAAGCGUUAUCCGGAUUUACUGGGUGUAAAGGGAGCGUAGACGGCAGUGCAAGUCUGGAGUGAAAGGCGGGGGCUCAACCCCCGGACUGCUCUGGAAACUGUACGGCUGGAGUGCAGGAGAGGUAAGUGGAAUUCCUAGUGUAGCGGUGAAAUGCGUAGAUAUAUGGAAGAACACCAGUGGCGAAAGCGGCUCUCUGGUCUGUAACUGACGCUGAGGUUCGAAAGCGUGGGUAGCAAACAGG